AACGAACGCUGGCGGCAGGCCUAACACAUGCAAGUCGAGCGCCCCGCAAGGGGAGCGGCGGACGGGUGAGUAACGCGUGGAAACGUGCCCUUUGCUACGGAAUAGCCUCGGGAAACUGGGAGUAAUACCGUAUGUGCCCUUAGGGGGAAAGAUUUAUCGGCAAAGGAUCGGCCCGCGUUGGAUUAGGUAGUUGGUGGGGUAAUGGCCUACCAAGCCGACGAUCCAUAGCUGGUUUGAGAGGAUGAUCAGCCACACUGGGACUGAGACACGGCCCAGACUCCUACGGGAGGCAGCAGUGGGGAAUCUUAGACAAUGGGCGCAAGCCUGAUCUAGCCAUGCCGCGUGAGCGAUGAAGGCCUUAGGGUUGUAAAGCUCUUUCAGUGGGGAAGAUAAUGACUGUACCCACAGAAGAAGCCCCGGCUAACUCCGUGCCAGCAGCCGCAGUAACAC
rnacentral:rRNA from 1 species